UGGAAGUAAAAGUCGUAACAAGGUUUCCGUAGGUGAACCUGCGGAAGGAUCAUUACAGUAGUCGCCCGGGUUGCCGCAAGGCCUCCCGGGUAACCUACCACCCUUUGUUUAUCACACUUUGUUGCUUUGGCAGGCCUGCCCUCGGGCUGCUGGCUCCGGCCGGCGAGCGCCUGCCAGAGGACCUAAACUCUGUUUGUCUAUACUGUCUGAGUACUAUAUAAUAGUUAAAACUUUCAACAACGGAUCUCUUGGUUCUGGCAUCGAUGAAGAACGCAGCGAAAUGCGAUAAGUAAUGUGAAUUGCAGAAUUCAGUGAAUCAUCGAAUCUUUGAACGCACAUUGCGCCCCCUGGUAUUCCGGGGGGCAUGCCUGUCCGAGCGUCAUUACAACCCUCAAGCUCAGCUUGGUGUUGGGCCCCGCCGCCCCGGCGGGCCCUAAAGUCAGUGGCGGUGCCGUCCGGCUCCGAGCGUAGUAAUUCUUCUCGCUCUGGAGGCCCGGUCGCGUGCCCGCCAGCAACCCCCAAUUUUUUUCAGGUUGACCUCGGAUCAGGUAGGGAUACCCGCUGAACUUAAGCAUAUCAAUAAGCGGAGGAA
rnacentral:misc_RNA from 1 species